UUAAGUUUUAUUGUGUUCAUCAUGAAGUUUUUGAAUGAUUUUAAUAAGGGGAUAGAAUGAUACAAUUUAUAAUGGAUGUGAGGGUGCAAAGUGGAUGAGGAAAAAGAGGAAAAGAGAUUAUUAUGGUUAUCCAGGGGAAGAGAACCUACAGCAGAGACCACCAGACCAGUGUGAAUGGGACAUCUGGAAGUGUCUGGAGACAUUUUUGUUGGCAAAACUCUGGGACAGGGCUGCUGCUGGCAUCUAGUGGGCAGAGAUCACUGCGAAACACCUGGAUGAAGACAACAAUUCUGUUCUAAAAUGUAGGGACAAAACCAAUUUGAUCUUGGCCUUCAUGAUGAAGCUGAAUAAACACUGUAUCAU